UUUGGCAGCACACACACAUAUACAAAAAUUGAACGAUACAGAGAAGAUUGGCAUGGCCUUUGUGCAAGGGUGACAUAUAAAUUCAUGAAACAGCCCAUAUUUAA